AUUGAACGCUGGCGGCAGGCCUAACACAUGCAAGUCGAGCGGACGAAGGGAGCUUGCUCCUGGAUUCAGCGGCGGACGGGUGAGUAAUGCCUAGGAAUCUGCCUGGUAGUGGGGGAUAACGUCCGGAAACGGGCGCUAAUACCGCAUACGUCCUGAGGGAGAAAGUGGGGGAUCUUCGGACCUCACGCUAUCAGAUGAGCCUAGGUCGGAUUAGCUAGUUGGUGGGGUAAAGGCCUACCAAGGCGACGAUCCGUAACUGGUCUGAGAGGAUGAUCAGUCACACUGGAACUGAGACACGGUCCAGACUCCUACGGGAGGCAGCAGUGGGGAAUAUUGGACAAUGGGCGAAAGCCUGAUCCAGCCAUGCCGCGUGUGUGAAGAAGGUCUUCGGAUUGUAAAGCACUUUAAGUUGGGAGGAAGGGCAGUAAGUUAGUACCUUGCUGUUUUGACGUUACCAACAGAAUAAGCACCGGCUAACUUCGUG
rnacentral:rRNA from 1 species